CCAACCCAACACCAUGGUCCGGAAGCGCUACGUGACGGCUAGGAACGGUCCGGUCAGAGUCACAAAAUUUACUCCACGACCUAGACUAGUUCAUCCACUAACUCGUCCCGCUGCGUCAAGGCACAAGGCUUUGCAACCUGUACCUAGAGUUAGCGUUUUCCGUUAGAUCGAGGCCUAAGGCUUUUCAACCCGUACUAUGACCUAACGUUGUGUUAGACCAGACUAGUCAAAUAUCAGAGUACUCAUGAAGUGCAUAUAAAACAAUGACUUUUAUUGAUUUAGGAAAUAUUCAUACAUUGAAUAAUUCAAGACUGGGCCCGGCCUAAUGCCAAAUCGAGUCAACAUAACACAAUUCACAAUACCGUUUACAAAAGGCUUGAAAAUCUACAAUGAUGGUCCUAACGUCCAGCUCCAAGCUAUCCGAUCAUCCUUACCUAAAGCAACCUGCAAAAAAGACAACAAAGUUCGAUGAGUAAUCUAGUAUUACUCAGUGAGCUGGCGGCCUCUACCCGCAACCUAGACUCUAACCCAUACAACCCAAAAUAACAAUCAAUCUAGCCCUAGCAUACAAUAUAAGCUAUGGCUAAGCAAACCGUUACUAAGUUACACUUGGCCUCCUGCCAUGAUUUAGCUUCAAGUAACGGGAACCUACAUUAAAACAAGUCAACAACCAAUCCCUAGUUAACCAUAUAUAUGCCUGAGUUAUGUACUCAUGUAGUGUUAGACACUUAGACUAUACAAGUAUCAUUAGCCGAUCGACCAACAAUCAAACAAGAACAUGAUCAGCCAACCAAUGAUAUCACAUAGCUUUAAUAUCCACCACCGUUCACAAGCAAUAACUCAAAUGCAUACAGGCCAACGUCGGGCCUACACUAACGAAAUACACACCAAGCCUAAUCUGGUACCUAAGCCAGACUUAUGACUUAAUGUCAGAACCUGCAAGACAAACAAUUAACAACCACAACCACAACAAUAAUAAUAUACUAACCACCAAUGACUCGAUCUAACUCGUAACACUGUAUAUCGGUGCUACAUUAACUCGAGGGUUCCAUAACCCUCUACGACACACUAACACAACACUCUAACCUGGGCCCUGGUAACUUCGUGUUCCUCCUCUCUAUCGGCAAUAUCCUAUCUCCCUACCACAAAGGCCAGAAGAAGGAACUUUCAACCGACCACGGCCCACAGUCCUUCGGGUCACCGCGCGACAGCCCACAGUCCUUCGGGUCACUGCCACAUUACACCGUCGUGUAAUCACUCAGCCAUAGGCCAUGAUCUCGUCUCUCUGAGUCUUCCCGAUCCAGAGAAUAAGGGGUUUCCUUGAACCCGCUGAAUACGAGGCCGAGGAAACACUAGUCCACCACAAAACAUGCCUAGCAUGGGCGGGUUUCGCACCUGCUGUCGGCAUAACACUCGACACACAAUCCCUAGGAAAUACCUAAGGGAAAAGACUCCUACCGAAAACUAAAUAAUACUUAGGAGUCGACGACACUAACCACUAGUACUAGUAGUCCGGCCUAUAUGGCGUAGGACCUGCAGUACCAACAUCACAACUAGGAGAUCGGCCUAUAUGGCCAAAGAUCCCCUAAACAACAACAACUAAACAACUCAACCAGUUAGUCACUUCCUUACCAAGAGAUGACUAACCUCAAUCAGCAAGAUUAAUUAACCGAGCAAGCAUUUAAUUAAAUCUACUCAAUCAAACCGUUAUCCAGAUAGUUCGACCUCCUGCUACGACACUAUCUUUAAAGAUAACGGGAACCUGCAGUCAACCAUACCAACACGCAAGAAUAUAAAUCAUAAUGCAUCCUAGUCCUAGUCAGGUUAUUAUCUCAGUCUUAAUUCCAUUCAUCCCAGUUUAGCCCUUACUAAACUGAGUCCGGUUCCAUAAAUAACCCUAAGGACUCUACCAUGCAACAUAGUGAGCAUUCUACUCUAUAUGCACAUGCAACAUCGUGAGCAUUCUACUCUAUAUGCAACUCGAUCUUCCCUAAGGUCCAAGUGGAACUUACAAAACUACCCUAAAUUCCAAGUGGAAUUCACACAAGACCAACUCACAAAACUACCCUAAAUUCCAAGUGGAAUUCACACAAGCCAACUCACAGUGUUCUAGGCGAGAAGCAGCUGGUUGAUCGGAGAGGACAUGUCAAAAACCCAAGGGAUGCCUUAACUGGACUGGACUGGACUGAUCUCGACUCGGACAGACCCUCCUUUAGCUUCUGGACAGUUCUUCGGACUUCCCGGCGGAGUAUCGAGCAGAACUUCGACUGAUCUGAACCCGUGGAUCUGAACUAACUCUGGACAGCACCUCCACUUGAUCAUCAAAGGAACUGACUGGCCUGGACGAAAUCAUUUGGACAGAGCUUCCGCGUCACAAUAGUAGAGAAUCGUCGAUUGGACGGAACUGGCCUUCUCGGUGAGAAUCGACUACACUCUAAGUCGACCACUUUGCUUCUCUCUCUCUUUCUCUCUGGCCACGUUGACUUGAUUCCCAUCUGAGCUGAUCUUCAUUUGAUUGACUUUCAGUUGGACAGAACCUUCCCAAGGCGAUGACUUAAAAUUAAUAGAGAACUGACCUCGAAAACUCUCUAAAACUCUUGAAAUAGCUCGGAAUCACUUGCUUUCCUUUUCUACUUUUCUCUCACGUUUUAACUUAGUUUGGACAGGUCUGGAUGUGAAGAAAUGAGCUGGAGUUGUGGGGUAUUUAUAGGAGACAGCAACCAAUAAGCUUCAGGUUGGUGGCAGCCCGUGUGUCGCUUCGCAUGGCUCCGGACGCAUGCGCGGCGGCACCUCAUGCUCCACAUGUCUGGCUGCAUGUCCAGGACACAUGCAGGACGCCACCACUCCUCCCAGAUGUCAGGCUGCAUGACUAGAACUCAUGCAAGGCGCCACAGAAGCUCACACAUGGCUGGUCGCAUGCUUCGGUUGCAUGCGCGGAGACACCUCGUGCUUGGUCGAUCCACCUCGUGCUUGGUCGAUCCACCUCGUGCUUCUACAUGUCAGGCUGCAUGCACUGCUUCCAUGUACGGCGACACCUCAAGCUUCUGGAGACACUCAGCUUGUUAGAUGGUUGACACCACGUUUUGAAACUAUGCAGCGAGCCACCUCGAGCUUCUCGGUCCAUUGGCCUGAUUUCGGUCCUUCCGGCAAUUUUCUUAUCCGCGAUCAAUCCCAAUAUUUUCUACGCCCAUUCUGAUGUUCUGAAUAUCUUUAAUAAGCUCCAGACUCCAUUAUAAUCUUGACGGUAAUAUUUCUCGAGCCUUUGGCUUUUCCGAAAAAUAUUACACAAUACGAAAUUAGGGUUUCGUCCAAUUUCGGGUUUUCCCGUCGUGCUUCGAUCCAGUCGUGCUUGCUUCCAAAACAUCCAUCUGAUCAAUCUAAGACAUUGUCAAACCACGGCCUAGUGGCAUACUUGACUCAUGGUUCAAACAAGAACAAUCUGAUCGCCCGCAACUCGACCACCACAAAGAUACUCGACCAUUCUCUCUUUUUUUUUAACGGGUUUUGACAUUCUCCCCCCCCCACCCUUAAUAGAAUCCGUCCUCGAAUUAUUAGUUGUGCAAUUGCUCGUCUUCACAACAUUCUCCACUCGUCUCCAUAACCUCUUUACUCUGUCUACAACUGUUCCUUGAGUGUCCUCUUCAAGGCCUCCACAAUCGUCUUCAUAUCUCAUCACUGUAAAGAUCACUGAGUCAUCCUCUUGCUUUUACUCUGUCAUAACACACUCAUCGCCCAUGAUACUAUCUUGUCCUUUCGGUAGAUAUCAUUCUUGUCCAUAUUCCUCAAAUCCUUUUCCGGUCUUCGUCUUCCCAACUGCUGAUGAAGUCCUUUCCCAAUGAAGUCUUGUUUCCUCCCAUCUGUCCAGUCCAUACCACAGCCCAGUACUCUGAAUCUGUCUCUCCGCUUUCGCUUCGGGUUUGGGUUUGGCCUUGAACUCCCUCCACUUAAAGGUUUUCAUCCCUUAAAGUUCCGAUCAACAAACACACUUACUCGCUGCAACUCAAAAGAACACCUCACACGCAAGUUAGCAGACAACCAACCAAAUAAUCUACUAAACCAUAAAUCUAACAACAACAUAACCGUAAUUCUAACCAAACAACCUAGCAAUGCUAACCAGCAACCUAACAGUUCUACCCAAGCAACCUAGACAUUCUAGAUUUCACUAUCUCAAUCCUAAUUCCUAAAACCACCAAUCCUAUCGCUGGAUGUGACUGGUUUCUCUAAUGCUUUUUGUGACUCUUUUUGACUCGAUAAAAUAUUCAAAAACAGAUUAAAUCAUGAGUUCCAGAAGCAUGGACGAAACCAUGCUCUGAUACCACCUCUGUAACACCCCCGAACCGUCCUAGACAUAUGGUCGAUCAACCGGCCAACAAUCAAACAAGAACAUGACCGAUCGACCGUCCAACACCCAGGGUUGGAGAUGAUUGAGCCAACCGGCCAGCCAACAAUCAAACAAAAGCAUGACUGACCGUCUAACCCAACACCAUGGUCUGGAAGCGCUACGUGACGGCUAGGGACGAUCCGGCCAGAGUCACAAAAUUUACUCCACGACCUAGACCAGUUCAUCCACUAUCUCGUCCCGCUGCGUCAAGGCACAAGGCUUUGCAACCCGUACCUAGAGUUAGCGUUUUCCGUUAGAUCGAGGUCUAAGGCUUUUCAACCCGUACUAUGACCUAACGUUGUGUUAGACCAUACUAGUCAAAUAUCAGAGUACUCAUGAAGUGUAUAUAAAACAAUUACUUUUAUUGAUUUAGGAAAUAUUCAUAUAUUGAAUAAUUUAAGAUUGGGCCCGGCCUAAUGCCAAAUCGAGUCAACUUAACACAAUUCACGAUACCGUUUACAAAAGGCAUGAAAAUCUACACCGGUGGUUCGAACGUCCAGCUCCAAGCUAUCCGAUCAUCCAUACCUAAAGCGACCUGCAAAAAGGACAACGGAAUUAGAUGAGUAAUCUAGUAUUACUCAGUGGGCUGGCGGCCUCUACCCGCAACCUAGACUCUAACCCAGACAACCCAAAAUUACAAUCAAUCUAGCCCUAGCAUGCAAUAUAAGCUAAGGCUAAGCAAACUGUUACUAAGUUACACUUGGCCUCCUGCCAUGAUCUAGCUUCAAGUAACUGGAAUCUGCAUUAAAACAAGUCAACAACCAAUCCCUAGUUAACCAUAUAUAUGCCUGAGUUAUGUAUUCAUGUAGUGUUAGACACUUAGACUAUACAAGUAUUAUUAGCCGAUCGACCAACAAUCAAACAAGAACAUGAUCGGCCAACCAAUGAUACCACAUAGCUUUAAUAUCCACCACCCUUCACAAGCAAUCACUCAAACACAUACAGACUAACGUCAGACCUACACUAAUAAAUACACACCAAGCCUAAUCAGGUACCUAAGCCAGACUUAGGACUUAAUGUCAGAACCUGCAAGACAAACAAUUAACAACCACAACCACAAUAAUAAUAAGAUACUAACUACCAAUGACUCGAUCUAACUUGUAACACCAUAUAUCGGUGCUACAUUAACUCGAGGGUUCCAUAACCCUCUACGACACACUAACACAACACUCUAACCUGGGCCCUGGUAACUUCGUGUUCCUCCUCUCUUUCGGCAAUAUCCUAUCUCCCUACCACAAAGGCCAGAAGAAGGAACUUUCAACCGACCGCGGUCCACAGUCCCUCGUGUCACCGCGCGACAGCCCAUAGUCCUUCGGGUCACUGCCACAUUACACCAUCGUGUAAUCACUCAGCCAUAGGCCAUGAUCCCGUCUCUCUGAGUCUUCCCGAUCCAGCGAACAAGGGGUUUCCUUGAACCCGCUGAAU
rnacentral:lncRNA from 1 species